rnacentral:snoRNA from 1 species
AGUCCAUGGUGUGGACACUUUCGCAACAUAUUCUUGAACCUAUUCCAGGCUUCAUCGAAAUUCUCCGAUUCGCCUUGGCGAAAAUAGACAUGUCGUGCUUGAGCUU